GAGCUACCUAUUUAAGAAUGUUAGUUCUUACAGUUAAUGUAAAAUAUAUUCCCUUUAGAUAUUUAGGUAGGGGCGAAACACCUACAAUUCUUUGGAUAUCUGGAUUUUAAUUAAAUGUGUUUAGCACAGAAUUAUUUUUGAGAUAAGAGAUGUUAAGAUCUCUUAUGAUUUUAAAUUUUAUUAAAUUCUUUUUAUGGAGUAAUAUCCAGUAGGUUUUAUAAAUUAUAAUCUUUUUUUUGUAACUUAAACUAAUUAGUUAAAUAUAUUAAUAAAUAUGUGUAUAAUAUUUAUUCUGUUUAAAUUAGUAUUACUAUUAAUCUCUUGUUAGGAACUUGGCAAAUAAUAACCCCUCAACUGUUUAUCAAAAACAUAGCUUAAUGAUAUUUUGCUGAUAUUAAGUGUCUUCUGCCCGGUGUGCUUUAAUAAACGGCCGCGGUACCCUGACCGUGCUAAGGUAGCAUAAUCAAUUGGCCUUUAAUUGGGGUCUAGUAUCAACGAAGGUUAUUGGGGGGUUGCUGUCUUGUAAGGGUUUUAUAUAAUUUUCUUUAUGAGGUGAAAAUUCCUCUUUUACUAUUUGUUAGACAAGAAGACCCUUAGAGUUUUUAUUAAGAACUCUUUCUUGUGGGUUUACAUUUUUGUUGGGGCGACAAGGUAACAAAUAGUAUAACUUACCUUUUAGGUUAUAUUUGACAAAUGAUUUUAAGCAAAAUUAAACUACCUAAGGGAUAACAGCGUUAUAAAAUUAUUUGUUUGCGACCUCGAUGUUGGAUUAGGUUACUAAAAGCCUAGAAGGCUUUUAGUUAAGUUCUGUUCGAACAUAUACACCUACAUGAUCUGAGUUCAGACCGGCGAAG
rnacentral:rRNA from 1 species